AUUAUUUCAAGAAAAUCUAACCUAGGCUACUCGCUGUACACUUACCUGUACCUGACAUAUCUAGCUGUGCUUUGAAAAAAAAACUAGAUUAUAAAUAUAUCUCUGAAAAAACCUCUGUUUUCUAAUUAGAUGUUUUGUGCAGACCUGGUUGACUUAAUUUCCCAAGCUAGACAGAUCUGAUUGAUUGCUGACAUUGAUUUGGAGGAGGAGAGAAAUACAUUCAAACUGCAUCAUCAAACUAUAUUUCAAACGGAAAUUGUCCCUUGCUGUCUAGGCCACGGGAUGACUAGGUGCAGCAGGUCUGUGCCAUCACUCAUGCAGAUGAUAUGCGUAAAUUUAUUUAAUUUGAGCCAGAGUGCAGUCCUCUUCUGUUUGUGCUUGUCCCAGUUGGACACGAUACAUCACGCCCGUGUUACCUUUAAGAUUAAAUUAGCAACACGUGUUUUUCCAGACGCUGAUCUGACGCGUGACCCCGUGCAGGUGGACUGUUAUUUACGGUUUGGAAAGCAUUUCUUCCUCUGUGGUGCGGUGAGGCUGGAUAUGAAUGCGAAACACCUGAAGAAGAGCUGGUCGGUAGUGGGUGACAUGGAACGAGGGUGAUGUCAGCCUGUUCUUCAUCUUCCUGUGAUUCCUUCUGAAGGAUGUAGGAUGUUUUGAAACACACAGUGACUUUUCCCUGUCGUUAAGUAUAAUAUCAGGAGGUGAUGUUUUUUUGUCAAAAAGACUUUUAAAAAAGAAUAUGUUUUAGCUGGCCUGCAGAACACAAACAGAAUCUUGUUUUCCUAAACGUUUUGUACAAGGCCCCGAAAUAUUGGGUUGGCUAAGCAAUAUAGACUGAUUUCAAACAAAAAUGCCUUUUUUAGCUCAUUUAUUACGCUGAAAGUAAAAGGAAAAACAAAUGAUUACCUGGCAUUGAUAAAUCACUCUGUGAAUAUUUAAUGUUUUGACAGCUGAAAAUUAUAAAAAGAAAUGGGGUGAUUUAUUGAUACAUGCAUUUAUGUAAAUGGUGUUUGUACAGGAGCGAUUCUGUCUUAAAGAUUUUCAUUAUUAUACUGAAAAUAUUUACCGUAUACACACGCAUACCCAGACGCGCGCACACGCAUACACAUGCACACAUGCACACACGCACGCAGGCACGCAUGCACACACACACCUGACCGUAUCGUUAGCAUAUCUCAAACAUUGUUUGAUCUGAUCUGUCAGGGUGUGCAAUGAGGAUCAUCUCCUGUGUAAAUAACCAAUCAAACGUGAGCACAGCCUUUGACAAUUCCCCU